UAUUAAAUAUUGCUUUGCGGAAUUCUUUAGGCACAUAAGGUCUCGGCGUAGUGCUGCUAGUGUCGCAAUACAGCUGGCUACGCGAGCCUGGUACCUGAAGACGCUGUAAGCGUAGUGAGGUGGAACCUUCG